CAUCACCAUCAGCCGCGCGAUGUCGUUGGCCAGCAUGUCGUCCACCGUGUCCAGCAGCUUGGGCUUCAGGGCCUGGAACUUGCUGAAGUCCUGGGUCUGCAGGAGUUCCUGUGGGCAGGGGAGGAAAGACAAGGGCUGGGAAGGGUGGCCCCUUCCCAGACUCCAGGCCAGGUGGUUCCAGUGAGGGCUUCUCAAGCAGAAAGUGCUGCUCCCCCCGACUAGCAGGGGCGACUCGGCGAACCCCUCUGGCUCUUGACUCUCUAACCUGUACACAGGAGGCAACUCCAGCUCUUUCCUUACAGGGCGGCAGCAAAGGAUUAAUGGACAGGGCACCAGAGCGGCUGGCACGGCCCUGCCCUCCCCCCACCAUGCAGGGUGAGUCACCACAUUCCCCUCUGCAGUGUCACCGCCUGGGUCAACUCUGAGUUGGGUGGGGUGCCGGUGAUUAACCCAGCUGCUUCCGUUCAGGGAGGCCCUUCCCCAUGGAGAUGGGAUUCCCUCCAAAUCCAGUGCCCUCGGCCUUCCUCUUGCCCUGAUGGCCACCAGCCUGCAUGGGGCCUCGGGACAGCCAUACCUGCAUCUUACGGAGGCUCGGGAAGUCCCCAGGGGAGAUCUGGUGCUCGCGCUCAAUCUUCUGGUAGAUCUCUCCCAGGUUGUUCACCAGCUCUUUCUUUUUGCUCUCUUUACCAAAGACAUUGGGCAUCUCCUUCUUGAGGGAGCUGAUGAUGUAGGCGUGAACCUGUGAGGACGGGGGUGGCCAUCAGGCGCUGUCUUGGUCCAGGCUGCCCCCGAGAGCAGAGCCUCCAAGGACACUCCAAGGAUACUCCAAGCCCCCUUCCCCCAAGCUGGGAGCAGGCUUCCUGCAGGGCCUACCAACCUGCAUGUCCAAAUCCCUGCCGAGUGCUGACGGAGCCCACAGAACUCCAGUGGGCCCGUGCCACACUCCACUCCAUCAUCACAGCUCAGAUGACGAAGGAUUCAAAACAUCCCACAAAGGCUUCUCCUGGCAGCUGCCAGCUUUAUCCAAGCGUCAAUACCUUGCUUAGACGUGCCAGUUCAGGGCGGUACCCCCUUCAUUUCCCCGCAGCAAGCUGGGAACCUGGCACCCCUCGAGAGCAGCCCAGCCCUCAGAUCCCUUGGCCUUGCCAAGUUGUGUCCAGCCACGGAGGGCUGCGGCCAGCCAGCCUCGCUGCCCUUCUCCCCGGCUCCAGCCCAUCCACUACCCCACUCAGCCUAAGCCUGUCUGCCCUGGGUGGGGGCCUGGUUGAAAACUGCCUGAGGGAGACAGCCCCGUGCCAUGUGGGUCUAGAUCUAGGGUCUCCCAGGGACACUGUGGCAGGCAGAUCCCAGGCCGGUGGGAGUCACCACAGAAAGCACCAUUCACUCCAGGAAAAGGAAGUGGCAGGUGUGAGGCAACACUGGAGGCCACAGAGUUUCCCAGGCGUGGUGACUCAGUGUGCCUAGGGCCUGGCGGUCACACACGGUCUCACAGACAAACAGGCAGGGCUCAUGCCCACCCCUUGUCCUGUCUGUCCUCAAAGGUGGCUGAGCAGGGGAGUUCUUUCUGCCUUGCAAGGAGAGGGCCUCAGUCAGGG